GUCUGGCUGGCUUAGUCGGUAGAGCUUGUGACUCUUGAUCUUGGAGUUGUAGGUUCAAGCCCCAUGUUGGGUG
rnacentral:tRNA from 1 species